AUGCCAAAAGGAAAGGCCAAGGGAAAGAAGGUGGCUCUGGCCCCUGCUGUUGUGAAGAAGCAGGAGGACAAGAAAGUGGUGAAUCCCCUGUUUGAGAAAAGGCCUAAGAAUUUUGGCACUGAGCAAGACAUCCAGCCCAAAAGAGACCUCACCAGCUUUGUGAAAUAGCCCUGCUCUAUCAGGUUGCAGCGGCAGAGAGCCAUCCCUCAAUAAGCGGCUGAAAGUGCCUCCUGCGAUUAACCAGUUCACCCAGGCCCUGGACCGCCAAACAGCUACUCAGCUGCUUAAGCUGGCCCACAAGUACAGACCAGAGACAAAGCAAGAGAAGAAGCAGAGGCUGUUGACCUGGGCUGAGAAGAAAGCUGCUGGCAAAGGGGAUGUCCCCAGUAAGAGACCACCUGUCCUUCGAGCAGGAGUUAACACCAUCAACACCUUGGUGGAGAACAAAGAAAGCUCAGCUGGUGGUGACUGCACACGUGGCUCCCAUCGAGUUGGUUGUCUUCUUGCCUGCCCUGUGUCAUAAAAUGGGGGUCCCUUAUUGCAUUAUCAAGGGGAAGGGAAGACUGGGAUGUCUAGUCCACAGGAAGACCUGUACCACUGUCGCCUUCACACAGGUUAACUUGGAAGACAAAGGCGUUUUGGCUAAGCUAGUGGAAGCUAUUAGGACCAAUUACAAUGACAGAUACGAUGAGAUCCACCGUCACUGGGGCGGCAAUGUCCUGGCUCCCAAGUCUGUGGCUCGCAUCGCCAAGCUCGAAAAGGCAAACGCUAAAGAACCUGCCACUAAACUGGGUUAAA
rnacentral:lncRNA from 1 species